CAUAAUUUUUUGUGGUGCAUUUACUUGAUUGGUGCUUGGGGAUGUUUGAGGCAGAUUUGUUUCCGUCGUUUUGAGGCCAGCUUGCUGGUACCCAAACGGUGUUAGCAUUUUUUGUCUUGGGCAUUUGAGUAUGGCUCACGUGUAUUUAUUGGACAGAUCUGAGUGUAAGUUACGGUCGCAUGCGACACGUGCUUUUCAAUUAGUUCGGUCCAGUUAAUGCUCUCGUACUCGUUCCCCAUGUAAAAGCCGGUCAUCUAUCCGACCCGUCUUGAAACACGGACCAAGGAGUUUAUCGUGUGCGCAAGUUUUUGGGUGUUAAAAACUUAAAAGCGAAAUGAAAGUAAAUGACUCUUUAGAGUCUGAUGUGCGAUCUUGUAAAAAAGUGUAGCAUGGCCCCAUUCUAACUGUUUACAGUAGGGUGGCGGAAGAGCGUACGCGGUGAGACCCGAAAGAUGGUGAACUAUUCCUGAGCAGGACGAAGCCAGAGGAAACUCUGGUGGAAGUCCGAAGCGGUUCUGACGUGCAAAUCGAUCGU
rnacentral:rRNA from 1 species